rnacentral:snRNA from 1 species
UCCGUCCAAGGCUAAAUACGGGCGAGAGAC